AGCAGUCGCCGCGGGAAUACGGAGGGUGCAAGCGUUAAUCGGAAUUACUGGGCGUAAAGCGCACGCAGGCGGUCUGACAAGUCAGAUGUGAAAUCCCCGGGCUUAACCUGGGAACUGCAUUUGAAACUGUCAGGCUGGAGUCUUGUAGAGGGGGGUGGAAUUCCAGGUGUAGCGGUGAAAUGCGUAGAGAUCUGGAGGAAUACCGGUGGCGAAGGCGGCCCCCUGGACAAAGACUGACGCUCAGGUGCGAAAGCGUGGGGAGCAAACAGGAUUAGAGACCCCAGUAGUCCCUGUCUCUUAUAA
rnacentral:rRNA from 1 species